CCUCGUGUGUGUUUAGUCCCUGUGUUUCCUCCCUUGUGUUGUCAGUUGGUUGUGAGUCUUACCAGAGUCUUGCUGUGUCUUCAGUGUGAGCUCUUGUGUUUCCUCUGUGGAUUUUCAUGUUUCUGCCUUGUUGAACCCAUCCUCCGCUUCUCCCGCGCUACCCUCCGCAGCUCUUUCCUCCUAUCAAUGUCAGGCUGUCAGAGGAAGAAGAGGGUGUCGGCACCGGCCUCUCUGCUGCUCAGUUCAACCAUGCGUCUGUAAUCAUUCUGGCUGCGUGGUGCUGAUUGGUGCUCCUGUGUCAGGCCCCGCUGUAGGACAGCUAUUGGAUGCUACGCUCAUCCUGGCCAAUUCAAAGGCUCAAGUUUUGCCAUGACUCGUGUGUAGCUGAGAUCUUCUCUCUGUUGCCGUGACUCGUUUUCCUUGGCGGCUCCAUUGUCGGACACAACAGUGUUGGCUAACAUGAAAUAGGCACCUCCAGCCAGCACACCCUGAGGUCUUUUGGAUUGGGUGACACACUUCUGCCCCGGAGAUAUAGUGAGCAAUGUCUGAACCAUUAGUCACCGCAGAGAUGGGUCACGGCUCUGCCUCGGCUGUCUGCCUCAUAUCAGCCUGCAGAGACUCAUCUGGCUCUAAUGAUAGCAAGGUGUGGACUCGUGGACAUUUCCUGCCUCACCUGUGACCCCGGCGUUUCUUCAAGAACGGCCAACUGGCAGCUCGUGAACUGCACCUGCUCCCUGCCCCUCUUAAAGAAAAGUUUUUACUGUCCAUUAUCCCAAAAGUGGCUGCAAUAUACGUGGGAGGUAUUUGAUGGAGCUGUUGAUCUAUGACCUGCUGCGGCCAAACCAAAUGGGAUCUGAGCUGAGGAGGGAGGAGAGGAAGUCAUUUAGUUUGAAUGCCCAACAAGCUCAUGGCUAAACAACAUGAGUGGAAAUGUUUUUUAUGAUUUCUAUAAUUGUUUUUCUGUUUCCAAAAAUCGCUCCUGCACUUUUAAUUCACCGAAAAAAGCCAACUGUGGAGUACCCUGGCCAAAAUUGGAGUCAUUUGUUAUAGCUUUUAAAAACACCGUCUGUGUGUGACAGCUCACACAAACUGAAAUUAAGGCUUUACAAGAACUCCAAAAGCCUAAUAAAACUGCUUUGUGAAUA